UACGGGGGGAGCAAGCGUUGUUCGGAUUUACUGGGCGUAAAGGGCUCGUAGGCGGCCAACUAAGUCAGACGUGAAAUCCCUCGGCUUAACCGGGGAACUGCGUCUGAUACUGGAUGGCUUGAGUUCGGGAGAGGGAUGUGGAAUUCCAGGUGUAGCGGUGAAAUGCGUAGAUAUCUGGAGGAACACCGGUGGCGAAGGCGGCAUCCUGGACCGACACUGACGCUGAUGAGCGAAAGCCAGGGGAGCAAACGGG
rnacentral:rRNA from 1 species